rnacentral:rRNA from 1 species
AUUGAACGCUGGCGGCAGGCCUAACACAUGCAAGUCGAACGGUAACAGGAAGCAGCUUGCUGCUUCGCUGACGAGUGGCGGACGGGUGAGUAAUGUCUGGGAAACUGCCUGAUGGAGGGGGAUAACUACUGGAAACGGUAGCUAAUACCGCAUAACGUCGCAAGACCAAAGAGGGGGACCUUAGGGCCUCUUGCCAUCGGAUGUGCCCAGAUGGGAUUAGCUAGUAGGUGGGGUAACGGCUCACCUAGGCGACGAUCCCUAGCUGGUCUGAGAGGAUGACCAGCCACACUGGAACUGAGACACGGUCCAGACUCCUACGGGAGGCAGCAGUGGGGAAUAUUGCACAAUGGGCGCAAGCCUGAUGCAGCCAUGCCGCGUGUAUGAAGAAGGCCUUCGGGUGGUAAAGUACUUUCAGCGGGGAGGAAGGGAGUAAAGUUAAUACCUUUGCUCAUUGACGUUACCCGCAGAAGAAGCACCGGCUAACUCCGUG